CAGUAGCCGCGGUAAUACAGAGGGUGCGAGCGUUAAUUGGAUUUACUGGGCGUAAAGCGUGCGUAGGCGGCUUCUUAAGUCGGAUGUGAAAUCCCUGAGCUUAACUUAGGAAUUGCAUUCGAUACUGGGAAGCUAGAGUAUGGGAGAGGAUGGUAGAAUUCCAGGUGUAGCGGUGAAAUGCGUAGAGAUCUGGAGGAAUACCGAUGGCGAAGGCAGCCAUCUGGCCUAAUACUGACGCUGAGGUACGAAAGCAUGGGGAGCAAACAGGAUUAGAUACCCCCGUAGUCCCUGUCUCUUAUAC
rnacentral:rRNA from 1 species